AGGCUUACGGUGGAUACCUAAGGACCUAGAGACGAGGAAGGGCGUAGUAAUCGACGAAAUGCUUCGGGGAGUUGAAAAUAAGCAUAGAUUUGGAGAUUCCCGAAUAGAGAAACCUUUCAAACUACUGUUGAAGCCAUGCAUAGGUAAGAGACAACGUGGCUAACUGAAACAUCUUAGUACCUAGAGGAAAAGAAAGCAAAAGCGAUUCCAGUUGUAGUGGCGAGCAAAACGGGAGCAGCCUAAAUCAUGAAAAUGAAGUUGUGAGAGAGCAAUACAAGUGUCAUGCUGCUAGGCGAAGCAGCAGAAAUGCUACAUCCUAGAUGGCAAAAGUCUAGUAGCCAAAAGCAUCACUAGCUUACGCUCUGACCCGAGUUACAUGGGAGACGUGGAAUCUCGUGUGAAUUAGCAAGGACCACAUUACAAGGCUAAAUACUCUUGGGUGACCGAUAGCAAAGUAGUACCAUGAGGGAAGGGUGAAAAGCUCCCAAGCAAUGGGAGGAGCCAAGUCUCUGAUCGUGUGCCUGUUGAAGAAUGAGUCGACGACUCAUAGGUAGUAGCUUGGUUAAGGGAACCCAUUGGAGCCAUAGCAAAAGUAAGUCUUCAUAGGGAAAUUGUCACUACUUAUGGACCCAAACCUAGGUGAUCUAUUCAUAACCAAGAUGAAGCUCGAGUGAAACUAAAUGGAGUUCCAAACCAACUGAUGUUGAAGAAUCAGCAUAUGAGUUGUGGUUAGGGCUAAAAUACCACUCAAACCCAGAGCUAGCCAUUUCUCCCCGAAAUGCAUUGAGACGCAACAGUUGACUCAACAUCUUGGGAUAAAGCACUGUUUCGAUGCAGACUAUGAGACCGGUACCAAAUUGAGGCAAACUUUGAAUACUAGAUAUGACCUCAAAAUAACUGGGGUUAAGGUCAGCCAGUGAGACGAUGGGGGAUAAGCUUCAUCAUCGAGAGGGAAACAGACUAGAUAACCAGCUAAGGUUCCUAAAUGAUCGCUCAGUGAUAAAAGAGAUAGGGGUGUAGAGAUAGCUAGGAGGUUUGCCUAAAAGCAGCCACACUUGAAAAAGUGUGUAAUAGCUCACUGAUCUAGCACUCUUACGUCGAAGAUGAAUGGGACUAAGCGAUUUGUUGAAGCUUUGGGAUGUAAAUAUACAUCGGUAGGGGAGUGUUCCACCUUAGAAGGAAGCCCCCACGUGAGUUAGGGCCUAAGAUCAGGAUGAAAGGCAUAGUCGAUGGACAACAAGUGAAUAUUCCUAUACUAUCCCUUGUUGGUCCCGAUGGAUGGAAGAUGCUAGGUUAGCUAAAAGCUGGUUAUCGAUUCGAGAACGUAAGGUGCCCCUGUUAUUUCAGGGUAAGAAGGGGUGGAGAAAAUGCCUCGAGCCAAUGUUUGAGCACCAGGGGCUACAGUGCUGAAGUAACCCAUGCCAUACUACUAGGAAAAGCUCGAACGACCUUUAAACAAAAGGGUACCUAUACCCGAAAUCGACACAGGUGGGUAGGAAGAGAAUACCUAGGGGUGCGAGAUAACUCUCUUUAAGGAACUUGCCAAAAUAUCCUUGUAACUUCUAGAGAAGGGGUGCCUCCUUACAAAGGGGUUUGCAGUGACCAGGCCCGGGUGACUGUUUACGAAAAACACAUGUCUUCGCAAAGUCAUAAGACCAUGUAUGGGGCUGGCGCCUGCCCACUGCCGAAAGGUCAAAGAAGUUGGUGACCUGAUAAUAGAGGAGUCGACGACCAAAGCCCUGGUGAAUUGCGACUGUAACUAUAACAGUCCUAAGGUAGCAAAAUUCCUUAUCGGGUAAGUUUCGACUCGCACGAAAGGCGUAACGAUCUGAGUACUACCUCGAAAAGAGGCUUAGUGAAACAG
rnacentral:rRNA from 1 species